CCCUUAGAUGUUCUGGGCCGCACGCGCGCUACACUGAUGCAUUCAACGAGUCUAAAACCUGGUCUGAUAGGGCUGGGUAAUCUUUUGAAAGUGCAUCGUGAUUGGGAUAGAUGAUUGCAAUUUUUCAUCUUCAACGAGGAAUGCCUAGUAAACGCAAGUCAUCAGCUUGCAUUGAUUACGUCCCUGCCCUUUGUACACACCGCCCGUCGCUCCUACCGAUUGAAUGAUCCGAUGAAUAUCAUGGAUUGAGGAUUAUAGCAGGUUCGCCUGUCUUGAUCUUCGAGAAGUGAAGUAAAUCUUAUCAUUUAGAGGAAGGAGAAGUCGUAACA
rnacentral:rRNA from 1 species